rnacentral:ncRNA from 1 species
AAGAAACCGAUGAACAAGAGGAGUAGGUAAUGAAAUGCCUUACAGAGAGCCGCUUACUGGUGGAAGAGCGACAGUGCUGAGAUUACUGAAUGGACUUGUGAGGGUGGCUCGAAAGCAGGUUUUUCUGCAAGUAGACGCCAACGGGAACCUCAACCGUUACCAACGAGGUGUAUAUGAUAGUAUACAAACAGAGCGGAUGCAAUAUUGCAUCAAUUUGGGUGGUACCGCAGAGAGUAGUCUUUGUCCCUUAA